rnacentral:rRNA from 1 species
CCUACGGGGGGCAGCAGUGAGGAAUAUUGGUCAAUGGACGAGAGUCUGAACCAGCCAAGUAGCGUGAAGGAUGACUGCCCUAUGGGUUGUAAACUUCUUUUAUAAAGGAAUAAAACGAGGCACGUGUGCCUUUUUGCAUGUACUUUAUGAAUAAGGAUCGGCUAACUCCGUGCCAGCAGCCGCGGUAAUACGGAGGAUCCGAGCGUUAUCCGGAUUUAUUGGGUUUAAAGGGAGCGUAGAUGGGUUGUUAAGUCAGUUGUGAAAGGUUGCGGCUCAAACGUAAAAUUGCAAUUGAUACUGGCAGUCUUGAGUACAGUUGAGGUAGGCGGAAUUCGUGGUGUAGCGGUGAAAUGCUUAGAUAUCACGAAGAACCCCGAUUGCGAAGGCAGCUUACUAAACUGUGACUGACAUUGAUGCUCGAAAGUGUGGGUAUCAAACAGGAUUAGAUACCCCAGUAGUC